GGCUGAGGGGGCGGGCUGAGGGGACGGGCUGAGGGGACGGGCUGAGGGGACGGGCUGAGGUGAGCGGCCGGUCCGGCCCCAGCCUCCCCGCCCGCCGCAGGCCCCCGCCCGCCGACGGCGCCUCCUCCUGCCCGAGAGGCUUCCCCCGGAGACCCCCUGUCAGGUGCGGGGCCCAGGCAGCGAGGGACCGGGUGUCCCACCGCCGGGCCCGCCGCCCCGCACAACGGCGGGGGGCCGUCUGUGGGNNNNNNNNNNCCCUGUCAGGUGCGGGGCCCAGGCAGCGAGGGACCGGGUGUCCCACCGCCGGGCCCGCCGCCCCGCACAACGGCGGGGGCCUGUCUGUGUGUGAGGUGUUGGAUUUUGGGGAAUCGCUCAAGAUGCUGGAAACCGUAGUAGGCGUAAGAGUAGUGCAGGUUCAGAGGAGAAGAAGAGGGUUGCAUAUGCAUGGAAGUAUGUAG
rnacentral:lncRNA from 1 species